rnacentral:lncRNA from 1 species
AUCUCAGCUGCUCUACUAGAUGAAAAAACAAACAAACCAGAUAAUGUUAAUCCCUAUCCCUGCAUUUCAAUGCCAUAAAAAGAUUUACCUGUUGAAUUUCUGACCUGCCAUGGAGCAAGCCAGCACACCUAGGAGUACUUGGUGGAAGAGUGAGGGGAGAGUAGAUGAGUUCUACAAAGGCAACACUGAAACUAAGGAGGAAGAAGAAACUGAAGGCAGUGCCACCCCCUGGACUGGUUGUUGCCCAGAAGGGAAUGCAGCUCUUGGAUUGAAAAUAUUCUCCACACUUGAUCUACUUCUCUCCUGAAGCUGUGGCCUUCACUACACCUUCUGGCAGUGCCUUUCAAACAGGAAUGACCUAUUGUGUGAAGAAGAAUUUCCUUUGUCCUGUCUUAACAGAUGACUGCAGUGUGUGCUCCUGGAUGUGCAAAAGCACCCAAAACAACAAACAAGGUGGGUCUCA